GCUGCUUCCUCCUGGCUCUUGAUUCACAACUCCAGAUCUAACUUCAGAGGAGGUGCUAGAACGACCUAAGCCCCAAAUCCUCUCUCCAAAGCUUCUACUUCCCCAGGACUGGAAAAAGACCCAGCUGAUUCUUAGUUAGAAACCAAAAGAGUUUAGCUCUGGGCUAGCUCGUGGGUGAGACCCAGACCGCCAAGGGUAGGUCGGCAGCUGUUUAAAAUUGCAAAUCUCUUCCCCACCUCCCUCCUCCUCCUCUACAGGAAAGAAUUUCAAUUGCAAAUUUAUCUCUGCCUCAGUGCACCCCCCCCAGCUCCCCCCCUUUUCUUCUCCACGCUUCUCCCAUCACCCUCUAUUUAUUACAAACCUUUAACUGCAGCAAUGAUUUUUUUUUUCACCUUUUCUUUCCUCCUUCCAUUUCCCUCCUCCUCAAUCUUUUCCUCCUUCCCUCUCUGAAUCUCUGUGUCCCUCUCUUUGCCCUUCCUACCUUGAACUCAGUUUUCAGCUCUUUCUGGAGAUGAUGCAGAGCCGGAUGACAGACCAAGUCACCCUCCACCUACCACCUCCAGGCCAAGAGUCCUGUUCACCCUCAGACCACUGCCAUUCCUCCUGUAGUUCCGGGCUUUCCUUAAGGGCGUCUCCUCUCCCUUGGGGCACAUCUCAGAGAGCCGGGUCCAUGGUUAUUGCUCAGGAUGAGAAGGGAAGGCUGGAAGUGCUACUUUCAAAGCUCAGCUAGGGAGGAGUUGCCCCCCAAACAUAAUCACUGAACUGCAAACAUUGUUCCAUGGGAGGUGUGCAGAAAUGCACCCAGUAAAUAGCUGGACAAGAAUUCCUCCUUCUUGACAAAUGCUCCCUAUUCGGGGGGCAGAUCCACCGUGCUUAAAACAGGAAGAAGCCGGGGAGCUGGGAGGCUCCAAGACGGACAGUAGACCCAGAAAGCUACCGAGAGAGAGAAAGAUGUUAAGAGAUGGACUGAAAGGCUUGGAUAUGAAGUUACGGACGUCUGAAAAGGUGGGCUCUGAGACCGCACAAGGCAGGGAGAACACAGUGAGGCACAAGAGCCAAAGGAGCAAGGGCAAAGGAAGGACCGAAGAAACGCGGCUGGAGGACAGAGAGACUCUAUCCCUCCCCGAGGAGGAACUUGGGCACGGAUGCAGCAAAUGGAGGCAAAGCCAGCGACGGGAGCUCCCGUCUGGAGCCCGGCAAGACCAGGGCUACCCUUGGAUGGCGCCCCCUUCCGCCCCAAGCAAGCCACCGAGAGGAGAAGAAACACUACUGCUCCCUAGUGGUUAUGGGAGGAACAUCACCAAGGAGAAAACAUGCCAGGCCGGGCGAACAGAUUGCCUUUCUCUUCCCCACUCCUCUCCUUAAACCAGAAUCCCACUUAAAGCAAAAUCCCACUCCCUUCUUUUCUCCAGACGCAAGGACAUGGCAAAGACCUUCCCAGAAAGUCUACCAGAUGCCACCAGCACAUUUGCUUAAAAUUUGCAUACAAUGAUUUCCACAUCAGAGCCUUCCAAACAGUUUUGCCUUUCACUUUUCCAACUGUUGGAUCUAUCCCCUCUCCCUUACUGAAGAGUCCAUUUUUAGGACCUUUCCUCUUCUUCCUCUCUCUGAAAUUCUUGCCUAGGGCACUGCCCUCUUCCACACUCAUUUUGCCUCUUGCCCCUUUUUGUCUCAACCUGUUGCUUUUAAGAGGCAGAAGCCUUGGAGAAGAGGGGAAAAGAAAAAGGAAAUAUAGAGUGCCCUGCCUAACAGGGAUUGUUUGGUAUAGACAAUAAACUCUAACUUGAUGAGCUUGA